rnacentral:lncRNA from 1 species
CGAGCAGCCAAGCCAGAGAGUGCGACUUCAACUACACGGGGACUGGGCCCAGACGCAGAGUCGGGAAGGCCACUCGGUUUUAAUGAAGUUCAGGGACUAGGACAAACACGUGAUGGUUGUUCAUUACAAGAAUACCAAAAAAAGAAAAUCUGAGAAGUACGAGGCAAAAUCAAGAAGCACACAAUCAGAACCAGCAAAGUUCACUUCCCUGACAAGGAAGAAAAUGUAAGAAGUGGGUGUGCAAACGCCAAAUGACACUGCAGAGGAAGUUGAGCUCAUUGUUACGCAUGCGUGUCGUCACGUGCCAUUGAACUUCAAAUACCUUGUGAAAUGCGUAAUUGAGAAAUGGAUCAUAUAGGGCUCUAUCAGAGGUCACAAUCCUCAAAUAAUGUGUAGGUUUGACUGGGGCAGAGCGGGUGUUCAACAGCGAGGCACACUUUCACACAUUAGCUCACAGGACAUUUUAACUCCCUGCUGUGGACGAAGGGCCUCGGGUACGGGGACAGCCUGCACAGUGCGGUGUGGAGACUCGGCUGUCCGUCCUGGGGAUGCUGACGUGAGGGAGCCAGCUCAUGCUGAGUGACAGCAACAGGGACCCAGCACCAACCACUCCUAGAGGAGGAGCAUUCCAGGACUCCUGAGGCUCGGAACAAGUUAGAGCAUGGUUCUGGUGACCAGCAGCCAGGUGUGCCCCCCAGAGAUCAUGGCCCCAUGACCAGCAGCCAGGUGUGCCCCCCACAGACCACGGCCCCAUGACCAGAAGCCAGGUGUGCCCCUGACCACGUUCCGUGCACCCACAGCAGAGCUUCGCUGCGUGUUUGGGAAGGCAGGUAAAUGAGAACACUGAUGAGCAGUGUGGACAUCAGCCACCUCUAGGCACCACUGGAUUG